rnacentral:tRNA from 1 species
CCUGGUGGCUCAGAGGGUAACGUGUCUGCCUACAAUGCAGGAGAUCCAGGUUCAGUUCCUGCAUCAGGA